rnacentral:rRNA from 1 species
AGUCUGGUGCCAGCAGCCGCGGUAAUUCCAGCUCCAAUAGCGUAUAUUAAAGUUGCUGCAGUUAAAAAGCUCGUAGUUGAAUUUCUGGUACGAUGUGCCUGGUCCACGGUCGCAAGGCCGCGCGUAUCGGAGUACGUCUGCCAUCCUUCUAGUUAACUGGCUAUACUUAACUGUGUGGUCAGCAACCUAGAUCUUUUACUUUGAAAAAAUUAGAGUGUUUAAAGCAGGCUCGCGCUGUGAAUACAUUAGCAUGGAAUAAUAAUUUAGGACUUUGCUUCUAUUUUAUUGGUUUCUAGGGGUAAAGUAAUGAUUGAUAGGGAUAGUUGGGGGUGCUAGUAUUCAUCGGCCAGAGGUGAAAUUCUUGGAUUCGAUGAAGACUAACUUAUGCGAAAGCAUUCACCAAGGAUGUCUUCUUUAAUCAAGAACGAAAGUUGGGGGAUCGUAGACGAUCAGAUACCGUCGUAGUCUCAACCAUAAACUAUACCGACUAGGGAUUAGUGGAAGUUGCUAUAUCGACUCCAUUAGCACCUUAUGAGAAAUCAGAAGUCUUUGGGUUCAGGGGGGAGUAUGGUCGCAAGGCUGAAACUUAAAGGAAUUGACGGAAGGGCACCACCAGGAGUGGAGCCUGCGGCUUAAUUUGACCCAACACGGGGAAACUUACCAGGUCCGGACAUAGUGAGGAUUGACAGAUUGAAGUUCUUUCUUGAUUCUACGGGUGGUGGUGCAUGGCCGUUCUUAGUUGGUGGAGUGAUUUGUCUGGUUAAUUCCGUUAACGAACGAGACCUCGACCUGCUAAAUAGUAUGACGUAGGCUCUGUCUAUGGACAUGACUUCUUAGAGGGACUGUCGGUUUUUAGCCGAAGGAAGUUCGAGGCAAUAACAGGUCUGUGAUGCCCUUAGAUGUUCUGGGCCGCACGCGCGCUACACUGAUACGUGCAUCGAGCUUACAACCUUGGCUGGGAGGCCUGGGUAAUCUUUGAAAAGCGUAUCGUGCUGGGGAUAGAUUAUUGUAAUUAUUAAUCUUCAACGAGGAAUUCCUAGUAAGCGCGAGUCAUCAACUCGCACUGAUUACGUCCCUGCCCUUUGUACACACCGCCCGUCGCUGCUACCGAUUGAAUGCAUUAGUGAGCUUGAGGGAUCGUUUAGCUUGAGGGUCAAACUUCGAGUUAAGAGAGAACUCACGCAAACUUGCGCAUUUAGAGGAAGCAAAAGUCGUAACAAGGUU